AAGUAACCUUCCCAACACUGGCUAUGCAUUCUUUCUGAUGUGAAUCCAAAACGGAAGUACUAUGAUAACAUGUCUGUAUUCCCGUCAGGUCACUGGCUCAAAAACCUGUUUUAUUUUUAGCAAUCCAGGUAUGUGAUAUGUUCAUACAUGUACUGUCUGGCAUGAUCCUUAUCAUUUCUGGCAUUAACUACUUACAUAAGCACAAUAUUUUUUUUAGUACAACAAAAGCCCUGUAGGAGCCAUUUUGGGUUAAUACCUUAUGUGGCCGCUAGAGGUCACCUUUUUCUCUUUUGUUCAUGUAAAGGUAUUUAAGGUAGACGCACAUAAUCAGCGUCAGGUGUGUCGUUAAUUGUACGAAGGCAAACAGUUUGUGACCGCUGCGCUGUUAUGUCAAGAUGGUAUUGGAAUAAAGAACAAAAAGGACAAGAUAAGUACAGCUGGAUUUCUUGGACUGUUUACUUAAUUCAUACAUACCAGUGACAUCGCGUCACCCCCGUUAACGACCACCUCAGUGGCUUCAAGCGUAGGCUUAGCCUCUACAAGCCCCAUGUGAUCCGUCCAUGAGAGAAAUAUGUGGACUUCUGCCCAUUCAUGCUUUAGAAAUGGUUUCUAUCAUAAGAAAACACUGCAGGAAGUUACGUGAAUCACUUGUAAAAAGGCAAUACAAAUACAAAAAGUAUUAUAUGUUUUACCUCUCAAUAUGUUGCAACUGAAAAUACAUUUAUUUAGGAACUUUUGAGGCUGUUUGUUGACGGUUUAACGAUUUGGUAACAUUUUCAUUUAUCUUCCGUCACUCAGUUACAUUUAGCAAGAGCAGCCAGAUGCCUACCUCCAUGCGAAAGACAAGACAGCUUAUUGUGUCUUCUAGUGAUCACAUGCGUGAUUUGGAAGAAAUGGCAAAACUGACUAAAUUUUCACUGAUCUUUGUCCUAACUGUUCACAUCAAUCAAGCUGUAGCUUCACCUUAAUUGAUGUGAACAGUUGAUUGAUCUAAUCUAAUCUACCAGGAUGUUAAAGGAGGGAAGUAAAAUAUUCUUUAUGCAAAACAUGAGUCAAGUGUUAACUACUGGGGUUAAAAAAUAAAAGUAAAGACUAAAGUCCCUCUACAGCUACCUUCUGAAGCAUUUUAAUGUAAUUAUCUUACAAAUAACAUGGUUUGCAGUGAGGAACAACCAAGUAGUCUAUGCUUCAAUUUUUACUUGUGUAAUUGGCUCCACAAGCACUGACAGCAGCCUAUUCUUUCAUUUUCAUUACUUACACUAAAUCAACUCUUUUAAUGCAACCGGGCCCUCUCCUACCUUCUCUGUCAUGCACAUUGUUGAACAGUUGAGUUUAAUGUGGAAGACGUGGCUGAUGAUGAUGGACAAAUAAAAGUGAAAAGGUGGCACUGAAAAACUAAGACAGAAAAAUAAAAAACAAUCUAUAAACAGUUGCAGCAAAAUGUGUCAAAGUAAACGACGUUAGCCGCUGUACCAGCAACUGCUAGUAGUGAGCCUUCACAGUCAUACGGUAGUACCAGCUGUGGAGAAGUGCAGGAUGAGGGACAGCAGUCCCAACAUAGAGAGUGAGGAAAAGAUGGAGAAAGAUAAUUAACAUAGUAAGAAAAUAGAUGGAGAGACAUUCAAGUAAAAUUAAUUGCUAUUUUGACCAUGAGCCACUGCUAACAGCUAAAUUGAAACAUGCUGCACGGAAGUGCAACUAAGAUGUCCCUAGCCAACAACAACUGUACCAACCUGAUUAAAAAGGAAACAGUUUGUGUAAAAAUGAUUAAACAAAUCUAAAUAUAUGCAUAACAUGUGUAUGCAUAUGAUAUUCUAUAUAUAAAAUUCAAUCUGUUUAGGUGUCCAGGGUUUAGGUGUGAUUUUUGGUCCCAGUCCAACAACACAUCAUAUGCAGAAGUAUUAGCAACUUUCCCAUGUUGUCAUAACACUCGCUGCACACUCCACCAGAGAAUGUUACUCGAGCAGUGUGCAAACACGCCUUACUACAGUCUUAGAGUCUCAUCAAACUCAGGCGAGAUAAGUGAAAACCUCUGCAUGGAUUAUUUCUUUAACAUUUUGUGUACAGAAUAAGAUGUUGUACUGUUUGAGCCUGCUAAUUUCUUUUCGAGUGUGCUGUGUUACAUCCUGGAAUCAUGCCAUCAUUGUUAGAGUGUGUGUUUAGUCCAACAUACUUUCAAUCAUUCACAAUAUGAGUUUGGAGAAUGAGAGAUAACCAGUCUGACAGGCUGGCAGUUUGGGAGGCGAGGAGAUGGGAAUUUAGUAAAGGGAAGGGAAAAAGCUAGUGACAAUUUCCCUGAUUCACUGCAAGCAAAUUAAAAAAAGAAAAAGAAAUCGCUUUAGCACUAUAACUACAAGGUGUGUCAUAAAAGUCACAUAAAAGAUAAACAUUAAAAAACUGGGGAAAAAAAUUGAAAAACAAAACAAAUAAGACCCGGCCAUUUGAAAGUUAGGGGGACUUUUCUGUGUUAUUGAAGCUAAAAAACAAAUGAAUGCCCCUUCAGUGAACUUGCAAGAGUUGAUUUUCUGAUCGUGACCAUGUACAGACCAUGCAGUUAUUUAAUAAAAUCUCAACGUCGUUGCACGGCAAAGACUGCAGUAAACUGUUUGUGAGUAGUCUUGCUACUGUUUGCACCAGCUUCAGAAAAACAUGCUGAAUUGUUUCAUCAGGAAAUAAUAAUGUGCAGUAGUCUAAAGAAAAAAAUAUGCUGUGUAUAAGCUGUUUUACUAUGUUCUCCUGAGCAAUCAUUAGACAUGGUUUUGGUGUUGAUUUUAAGACUGCCAAGAGUAACAGCGUGCUUGCCACUUCUUCAUGUUAGAAAGGCAGAAAUGCAAAGAAUGCAGACUUUCAAGAUUUUCAGAAAUAAUCAUACAGGUGUACUGUAAGCCUGGUCAAAUGACUUCAUGAAAUAAAGACUUGUUUAGAUUUGUUUUUGCGCCUUCAAACCACUUGGGAUUUUCUCUCAAAAAUUACAGUUAUGAAAUACCAGGAUGAAAAGCUACUGAGCUAAACUUCAAAAUCCCAACUGAUAGGCUAUGUUAUUUGGUCAGAUGUCAUAUUGGAAUGAUCAGUAGAAAUACAAAACAACUAAAUAAUGGGCCCAGAGGCUCAUUGCUUCAUGAUAUAUACUUCAUUUCCCAUUCAUGUUUAACAGAACACCCACAUGUACAAAACCACUGAACUGCCAAUCAUUUAUUUCUGUGUUGUUCAUGCAGUCUGUUUGUAUUCUGAUUAAGUAACUUCAGGUGACACAAUUAAUACAUAAUUAAAGAAUAAAGAAAUGUUUCAGGUGAUACAUAUUGUUUAACAAAGGCAACAAAAAUAAUAAUAAUAAAAAGUUUAGCAUUCUUUUCCUCUCUGUUAAUCUUGUCAUAAUUUUGCAGCACUGUCUUGCUUUUCCACCCUGCCUGUGGCCACACCACAUAAGAAGAAAAUGUUAUGCGAAUUCAGAUCUAACUGCAGUUAGGGGUCUGCUAAAGCAUGCUACCUUACCGGAGAAUGUCUUUUUAUGCAGUUAUUCAAGACAAAAUUGUUCAGUUAGGAAAAUCUGAUUAGUGCAGUCCAAAUCGUGUGCAUACGUAUGUCACGGUCCAUUUUGUGUUUCUCUAUGAGUUACCUUUUUUUUGAGGAUCUCUUGUGUCCUAGUUUAGUUUUUUUUGUAAAUUAGCAUGGUUGAUGGCUUUCUUUGCAUUUAUUAUAUCCUCUGUUUGUAGUUUCUGUUUAUACUAAAGUUCAUCUUCUUGGUUCUGUAUUUUUAAUUAUAUCCUUUUUUUAAUUCCAUUCUGUUCUUUCUAUCUUGUCUUGCCUGUUUCUCUUCUGUCUCUCAGGUUCUCGGGUUCGCAUGUCUUAGUCUGGUUCUCAGUGUGUGUGUUAGUUUGUUUUAUUUAGAUAAUCUUGUGUGCUUCAUAUUGAGUUUUAUGUCUCCAGUAACGUUAUUCCUGAUUUUUUACAGCUGAUUUUCCCGGUGUUUCACGUUACCUGGUGUGUAUCUAUUAGCUCGCUCUUCUCUCAUCCAUCUGUUUAGUGUCCAUGUUCAUAUCUAUGCCUCUUGUGAUUCCUAGUUUUGAUUAUUUAGCGCCAGCUCAUCUGACGUCCUUGUUUUGUGUUUGCUUUGAGAGUUUCUUAAUAAAUCUACCCAUUGAUUUUACAUUCCGUCUCCUGAAUCCCACAUGGGGGUCCUUUUCCUGUUUUCCACGCUUCUGAAACAAACCAACAUAUGUAUAUAGAGUACAUAUUAUAUAAAUGAUCAAAACGUCCCUGUAGGAGGAAGUUGAGAGCAAGAAAUCCUCCACGGUCCAGAAAUGUGUGCGGAACCAACUGCACCGCUUUUACUGAUGACGACAUAACUGAUGACAUCGAUUGUUUUCUCAAGACUCGUUACUUUUGGUUUGUCUUUAGGGACGUCUCACAUUCAUGUCGUCACCAAAAGAAUUACUUCCAAGAAUGUAACUAAGUUGCUACCACAGGAUCAUUUGCUUUCACCUCCAGCGAGCUUGAAUCUUGUAUCUGCACGGUCUCUUGUCAACUCAAAAUUAUGAAGAACUGUUUUCUUUUUCAUUUAAAUGAUAUUAUUUUAGUUGUUUUAUUUCAGUUCAUUUGGAGCUGUAUUUUCAGACAGAAUGGCUAGACCCUGAGGGUAGCCUGGGUAGGUCUCUCUUGAUUUAAACAGUUUGAUGAUAAUAUAUACGCCUUAAUUAGUGAUGAUAUACUAAGCAAUCUGCUUUCCUAUGAUUCCUUUUAUUUUAUUAUAUCAAAUAAGAUGAGCAGCAAUAAAGGAAACAAAACCCAUUCAGUGCAUAGGACACGGAAACAAGAUCACUGGACUCGUCUCUUCUCUGUUUGAGCAACAGUGAACUAGUGGCAAGUCUGACAUCUGCAGUCCAGAGGAGGUCGCUCUUUCUGUCCUAGUCAGGACAGGCCAGUCUGCUUUUACAUCAAACUACAAUGGAAAAAACCCCCAAACAAUAAACACUAUAUACAGCAUAUAAGGCAAAACUGGGGCUUGUACAAUUCCAACCAACUUGAAAGUCAAUAUUUGGUAUGGCUGCUUUUAUUCAACACAUCCUGAAUUCUCUUAGGUAAGCUUUGUUGUAAAUUUUAAUUUCUCGUUUUCACACCUGUGGGUUAGCCAUCUCACAAUAGAAAUGGGUGCUUCAGAGAGCUGUGGUGCUUACCUAAUCCAGUUUAAUACAUUUCUGUUUAUUGAGUCUUUCAUUUAUUAAUUUGUGAGUUUGCUUACAGUUUACCUGUAUUUUUUCGUUUGUUUUUCCACUUUCUGGAAUAAUAGUGAGUAUUUAAACAUGCUCCAAGCUUCAGGAAUCAAUGAAAUCUACUGAGUGUAAAAUUCAGUCACAGCAACCCAGUUUACAUGAGCUACACAUACCCUUAUUACACUGAAUCCCAUCUCACCUUCCUCAUUAAAUGUUCGUUCCCUCUUCUGUCCUAUAUGUUUGGUAGUGAAAGGGUUUGCAGGGCUGCUCAGAGGCUGGAGCAGACAAACAGUGACUCAGCUAAAAGGGCUGCCUACAGCCAUUGUUGACUACAGAGGGGUACACCAGGGAACUGGUCCUGCCUCAAGAGGUUUGCUGCACAUGUGCAAUGCAGGACCGCAAGAGUCUCCCCAUCACAGACGGCUACUAGAAGUCCUGACUCAUGCAGCCAAAUUGCUGUCUCUUCAGAGACAUGUUGCCCUGGUACCUAACGGUCACCAGGUGCCACUGUUUACUUAGUGGAUGCACAGGGCUGUUGGGAGCUGAUGGAGGUCUUCUUCCUGUGUGUGUGUGUGUGUGUGUGUGUGUGUGUGUGUGUGUGUGUGUGUUAGACUCCAGUGUUGUUCCACGGCUCUCUUAUUUUACACAUUGAGAUGUGUAAUGUGCACAAAACUGUCUGACUUCACACAAAUGAAAUGAGUGCUGCUUUGUAGUUGUUCCCUUGCUCUCAGCUCCAGUUAAGAGCAUCUGUAUGAUCCAAGAGACAUACCUGCAUGUUUCUUCCAACCUCUGUGUGUUUGUACCUGUAGAUUAGCUCAGUGGGUGGGCAGCAUGAGACAGUUUUACACUGACACUUACUUUGCUUAACUUUUAAGUUGCUGGGACAGACACCUGUUUGGGUACGUCACACCCACCUUUGCCCAUAGCUUGAAACUUAGCCAACAACUAUUAAGUUUUGCCAUCUUCAGGGUAAAUUGGAAUUCAUUAAAUAUAAUCUGAUUUUGUUCUAAUAAAAACAGCAGAAAAAUGUAAUUAAUUCUCAGCUCA